rnacentral:rRNA from 1 species
GAUGAACGCUGGCGGCGUGCCUAAUACAUGCAAGUCGAGCGAACGGACGAGAGGCUUGCUUCUCUGAUGUUAGCGGCGGACGGGUGAGUAACACGUGGAUAACCUACCUAUAAGACUGGGAUAACUUCGGGAAACCGUAGCUAAUACCGGAUAAUAUUUUGAACCGCAUGGUUCAAAAGUGAAAGACGGUCUUGCUGUCACUUAUAGAUGGAUCCGCGCUGCAUUAGCUAGUUGGUAAGGUAACGGCUUACCAAGGCAACGAUGCAUAGCCGACCUGAGAGGGGGAGCGCCCACAGGGGAACGGAACCAGGGUCCAGACCCCUAGGGAGGGCGCAAGUGGGAAACCUCCCGAAAGGGGCGAAGCCCUGACGGCACAAGCCGGCGUGAGGGAGAAAGGUCUUGGGUCGGAAAACCUUUUUUAUUGGGAAAAAACAGAUGGUAAAGAACCGGUGCAAAUCUGAAGGGUCCCAAAUAAAAAACCCAGGGCAAAUUCCGUC